CCACCCGCUUCGCGGGGUCACCUGUCUAAGCCUCAAGCCAGUCGGGCUCAGGGCCAUUUUCCCACGGAGUAAGAACCAGAACGCCAGCUGCCCCAGCGGCGCUCGCACCAUCCACCCUUGAAAUUGCCGUAGAAGAGACAGAAACUGAAAACCAUGGUUUCAGGCUGCUAAAAACCUAACAUGAAACAAAACAGAAGAACAACAACAACAAAAUAAGGUUGCUGACCAGAACUCAACAGUGAGGGAAUUUACCUCCUGCUUCAUGCAUGCAACAUCAAAAUAGAAGAGUGACCUAUGGGAUCCAUGGAGGAGCUGCUUCCUGAAUCUGUGUAAAGUAGAUCUUGCCGUGUGGGUAACUGUGACUGCGGUGGCCAUGAAGAGGCACAACUCAGACCUCGGAUCUCCUGCUGCAGAGAACAUUGACUGACAGCCCAGCAGCUCCUGUCUGGAUCUACCACCUGUUCACAAUUCUGAAAUACAUUCAACGCACACUUUCCUACUGAGAUUUCUAAAAUGGGACUUGGAAAACAGAAAAAUACGUAAGCAUCCUCUUUCAGGCCAGUAAAGUGGGGUACUAUCAUCUAAAUCUCCAAAAAGGUCAUUCAACUCUGAUCCCUGUUUAAAGAGAGAAAAAAGGAAUAAAGGAGCCUUUGAAGGCAGAAUAUUGCUCACUCAUCUCUUUGAAAGGACCUCAGACUGCAGAGCAGAAGAACCACUGGCUACAUCAGCUGGGGCAGAGGGGGAUGAAGAGAACAUCAUGAUGCCUGCAAAAAAGUGGGCUCUGCAGGAUCUCCAGUCACCUCCCUUCCCUUCAGAUCCAGAGCUCUCUCUGGCUAGGACCUUCCAGAGUUCCAGAAUUUUUGUUCCACCUUCCAUUGCUCACUUCUAUUACUAUUACUAAGAUAUUCACAUGGAAUUCUGUGCAAACCAUUUUUUUUUUCUUUUGGUGCCCUCUUUGUUUUACUUCCUCUAUUGGGACUAAUGGCCAUCUGACUUGGGGGUCCUUUGUUUUUUGUGACAAACCACCCUCAGCAGAUUUCCUUGAGGUCCAUUUGCUCAAGGGCCUUAAAGCUUUUUGGAGUAAUACAGAGUAAGUUUCUAGACAGCCUCUUGUGCUCUGCAGUAAGCUAAAGUGGAAGAUUAAGAUGCCUGGUGUAUACUGUGUGUUUCCCAUGUAAUGGCAGAAAAGGAAUGGGGCUCAUUAGUUACUUUAAGGUGGCAGCAGCUACCUUAGAGAAGACUGCAUUGCUUGUACUGAUUCAAAAGAGCACCUAAUGAAGGGAAAAAGCAGAAAUAAGCCAAGACUUGAGCUGAGUGAUUCGUUGAAUCAGCCAAGGAUAAUGUUCUUCAGGCACUAUGCACAUGUCACUGAUCAGUAGCGCUUCUCUUAAGCUUCAACAGCACUCACUUCCCCUGUCUUGAUGAGGUGAGCAGCACAUUUAAUUUCAGCUCCUGGGGCCAUCUGCAAACCUCUACUCCAUUCCUCAGCUGUGUUUGCUCCUCUGUUCUCAGGGAGCAGCAUUUUCACUGGAUGCAAACUGUGAGGCACUGUCUGGGCAAGCAGAUUGGUUACUAAUGAGGAAACUGGCACUGACAGCCUUUUGGGUUCUGAUUGAAGAAAAGAGAUGUCUUCGCAUCAGAAUGGUUUAACUUUCAAUGUGGCAUAUCAACUGGUUGAAAUUAGGGAGAGAGAGAAAGAGAAAUUUAAUUGUCAGGCUGUGGUGCGUAGUGUCAAAGCUACCUAGAUUAUGAGAAAUACGUCUUUUCAACAGCUUAAAGGCCACAGCUCUCAACAUUUUUUCUGCAUGUACAACACAGACAGGAUCCAGAAAUCCCAGCCUAUAACUCUUGGUUCCGUCAAAUACUCAACAGAGAAAACAGAAGUAUUUGAUUGUGGUAUUAACUAUGAAAUGUUCCCUAUUAGCCAUAUGAUUCUAUUAGCUCAGCUCAUUCCUGUUAGAUUUAUAGAAACAUUAGAGAUAAUUGGAAUUAGAAGGGCCAAGAGAGACGAUCCAAUCCCAUAUAGAGAAAAGCAAGACCCCUGCUCUCACUGAAGAAGUUUUAAAAAUAAUUAAACAACAAACAAACAAAUUGAGGCCCAGAGAGAUGAAGUAAUUUGACUGAUGUAUUCCAUCAGUGACAGACCUGGGACUGGAGCUCCAUCUCAGCUCUCAGCCCACUAAGAACCCUGUUCAUGGUGCCAUACUAGCAACCCCCUUCCUGUAGGAGUCUUUGAGAGUCAGAAUGACUUCUUGACUGAGAGGUACAUGUCUCUAGGAUAAGGACAAUUGAGGGGAUAAUGAGGAAAGAAAUAAUGUAAGUUAACUAUAUUUUGCCACAUGCCCUCCUCUCUCCAUGAAUCCAGGAUGUUGACCCAUAUCCAGCAUCCAUUGUGGGACUAAGUCUCGGACACCAAGGACUUCUAAGGAGCCUGCUCCAAUCUGAAAUGACUGUGGGGGAGCUGGCCAUUCCCCGAGCCAUUCUUGGAAUAUUGGGCCACAGGGGCCACUGGGGAGCAUGUAUAGGUAGGGGCGGCUUUGAUAUAAGCCUAGGUAUUCAAUUCUUCAUGGGACCCCCAAUGCUACCCCAAGUCUGCACCUUGAUUCCCAAAUACCCAAGAGAGACAAAAUGUCCUACUUUCUCUCUGAAGUUCUUCUAAUGUUGGAAGACCUAGGGUGGAGGCAAACCUUUCAGAGAAUUUCUGCUGGGAUUUAAAUGUAUGUCUAGCUGGCUUUAGACAUUAGAAGACUGUAAUAUGUACCUUAAUAAGUUGCCUUUCCCAUGGUGUUUGUUAUCCUCAGAAGACCCCCAUAGUGACUCUAGGAGACAAUUCUCAUAUCUUCUGAACUGUGCAUGUUCAUAGUUUUUCUGAGCAGGGUUUGCAUCUAGCAGCGAUGGAGGUAUAGGAGGUCACAGGCAACACUGCGUGCCUCACACAACAUUGUAGAUCAAGACACAGUUAAAUGGGCUGGCAAUUCUGAGUUUCUGAGUCCAGUCCCAUGACUAGUAUAGCUGUCAGAACUAGAGGGGCCAACCCUGGGAAUCUUGGAGAUGCUUUAUGAAUAUAUGAGAUUUCAGGCAUCCAAGCUCUUCUAUUUGUUUACAUGUAUUCUCAAUGUCUAUCUCCCAUUAUCAAAUCUAUUCCAAAAGUAUUUUUUCAACACUUGCUGGAGACUCUUGGAUAAAGCUAGUAAACGUGCUUUUAUUAAGCUCCAACUCUGUGCUGACCACUUAUACAUAUAUUGUCUCAGUUGCACUCAAAAUGCUAUUGUGUGUUAGGGUUCUUUCUUACAGAUUUUGAAACAGUGUCUUGGAGAGGUUAGGUGAAUUGCUCAAAAGACGCAGCAAGCACAGAGCUGUGACUUGGUCCUGUCUUAUCUGCUUUGGGGUUAUGGGUAGUUUAUCUUUAUAUGCCUAUUUUAACAGUAGACCCUCAACCACUGAAAUUGACAGGAAAAAGUAUGUGGUUGUUUUACCAAACAAACAAACAGACAAAAAACCAAACCCACCAAACCUGAAAUUUUUGGUUUGGUCAACAUUUUAAUUCAACUGUACUCAAUGUAUUAACAAUGGUGAUUUGAUAUGAUGGAUGUAAUUGAUAAUCAAUGCAGUGCCAUUUAUAGACUGCCUAAAAGUGCAUUGUACAUCAUUUUGACAACAUAUUUACCUGCAUUGUUUGGGCAAAAUGAAUUUUAAAAUUAUUUUUUGUUUCCUAAAUUUGUAUCAAUUGAAAAAAAAAAAGUCAUCUGGGUAGCAGACAGAAGUCAGCCUGGGACUACAGUGGGUCAUAACCCUGAGGAUUCAAAUGUGGGCAAUGGCAACAACAUCAGCGACUAAAGCUGUCAGUGGAGAAAAGAAGAAAGCACACGCCAGCCACCCUGCAGAACAAUGCAGUUCUUUCAGAGUCACAUAGUCCUAAAUCUGGAAACCAUCACAGCUGAGAGGAUAAGCUUUGGAACCCGAUAGUGGUCUAAAACUAGGCUCUGCCUGCCAUGGACAAACUACAAGAGACUGGGAAGUGAGUUAAACCUGAGCUAAAUCCCAGUUUCCUUCUCUGCAAAACAGGGAGUGGGGACAGUGGAAUAACACCUCCCUCAUAGAACUGUUGGGAGGCAUAAAUGACCCUCAGCACAGGGUGGUGUGUAUGGAAUGUGCAUCAUAAGUGGCAGCUAUUUUGAUAAUUACUAAACAUGAUGAAUGAUGAUAAGCGAAAUAAUAACACAGCUUUUCAACAUUUUCACUCAAUAAGUUAAAUUUAUAAUAGGCAAGCAAAGGAGUUUCCAGAAUUAAGCAUCUGAUGGGAGCUUAGACAGGUUGACUUUUACAGCUCAUUCUAACCCUGAGUGAGGGUCUGUGAUUUUAUAAGCCCUUUUAGGGUUCGAGUGCUACUUCUAAUCAAGAUCCUGGUAUCAUGUUUUUCUCCAUUACGUGGAACAAUAAUGAAUAGAUAAAUAAAAUAUAACUGGGAAAGGAGAACACAGAUUGAACACAUGCAUUUAUCUCCACUCUUGUCCAAAACCUCACAGUAAAAUAAUUUAAAAUACAUGAACCUAUAAGAACAAGAGAGGGGAGAUAUGAUGAAAGAGAAAACCAAAAUUUUGGAAGUUGGAAAAAAAUGGAAGGCUGGUUAGCCAAUUAGGGACAGUAGAAAGCUGCAUAUCUGUAAGGCACAUGCUGCCAAGAGAGAAAAGCAAGGCAAUUUGGAUGUGGAACCUCAGACAGGCUUAGAAUAGGAAACAGAUCCAUGAGUCAUGACACUGUGGUUGAGAUUUCUGCUUUAGCCAUUCCAGCGUAUGCUUGUUUUUCCCUAAAAGUCUUUACUCAUUUGUUUUCUCUCUUCCGCCCAGUGAACAUCUACUCAUUCUUCAAAACCCAGAACUGUUGUUGUUUCUUGAAAAAUGGAGAUUAUUCCAAAGUUCUUUUAGCCUUUGCAAUGUGAAGGCAUGUGUCAGGGUUGGGAGGAGUUGGGGAACAGCACCUCUUUCUUUUAACGUCCAAUUGAUUGAGGCCAAUGGGUCAUCCUGCCUCCUUCCCUAAAUAUUCCUGAGAAUGCUCAGAGAGGGCCCACAUGUUCCCUAAGUCCAUUCUGGUUACCCUGUGUGCCUUCUUGCUCUGGUCUGCUGCUCCCAGCUUCUUCACGAUCACUUGUGAUCAUUUGCUAGCCUUUUUUUAGUCCAUUUUACUCCAAAGCAAGAAUACAGUACUUGCUCCUUACUCUCCAAUGCUUACCAAUGCAACAACAAGAGGUAAUAGUAUUUAACAAAUUUUGAUACGGAGGAAAGGAAAACCUAAAAUAAGGUACCAUGUAUCACUAUUCCUGAAUUCUGUCAUCAUGUCCCUUUAAAGGCAGUGCUCUAUAGGUUCCGUCUCUCCUGUGGCCCCAGCCUGCUGCCACUGGAACAAGGGUCCAGGGUUCUUAAUGCACGGAAGUCUUCAUCUUAUCCCCCACAAAUCUACAGCCAAAAGAAGGAAAUACCCAUUGAUGACACGAUAGACAAUAUAACAGUUGACAAGAUAAUUGAUACAGCGUGCCCAAUGUGAAGAGAGAAUUUGUCACGGCUAGAGUAGUGAACCUUCUCCAGGUGAACCAUCUGCCGUUGGAAGCUUCCUUUUGUCCAGGGCUCCUGCAAGGCCAGUGAGUAGGUACUUCUAUCUACACAUGACUGAAAAAGACUUACCAAAACCAAUAUAUUCCCAAGGAUACUUUCUAAAUUCUACCCAAGGAGCAGAUGCUGCUCACAAUUCUCUAAAACAAGGUCUUUUUUUUUUCAACCCCAGAUAUAUCAAGAAUGGGACACAAUCUCCGAGGAAGAAAUUGUCAGCAUCUAUCUUGAAAAUAUCUUUGGUUUCCCAUUACAUUUCGGAUUUCUCUAGACCAUAUUUGUAGUUCCCUUUUUGGUGUUCCCAUUCUUGUAAGUUUAUAUAAACAGCAAUAAGACUAUAGCUCUUCUCACAGGAUACUUUGUUAUUUCUUAAUGGGACUGUCUGUCCUGUAGGCUAUGAGCUAUUUGAGGGCAAAGAAUAUUCUAUUCAUCUUUAUAUUCCUGGCACAUGGUAGGCACUCAGUAAUGCUGCUGCUGAAUUGAAUCGGCUGUGGGAAAAAAACAAAUGCUUCUCCUCAGUCAGCAUUUGUUUUCUAGGAUCUAUUCCAAUAUAUUUCCAACAAAAAUAUGAGAUUUAAAAGAUAGGCAGAGAGUGAAUUGAACUGAAUAUUGCACAAAAACUCCUUGUCUUUAAAGGUGGAAACAAAAUCCACCACCUUCCCAAGAUAGCUGUUCUGUCUCACAUCUUCUUGAAGCAAUGAAAUGAUGAGUACUGUGAUCAGAGAGGACCCUCAGAAAAUAAAUAAAAACCCAGCUCUACAAAUGCAGCCGUAAGCCAGGAGGAUAUGACGAAGGAUAUCAUUAUCAUCCUGAUAUUUUUAGAAGUUCUUUGGUGACAGGUCAGAUUUUUGAGAAUCAGAAAAUGAUAAAAAUAAUCUUGUUAUUCCACAAAGGAGGCUCUAUAUAUAUCAGGCCGAUUUUGAACACUGCCUGAGAAUGUUGAGAAAAUAUUUUUAAAUGUUAGUGAAAUGAUAGGCUUUGGGGGCAGACCCAGCCUCGCUUUAGAAAAAGCUUUAUCGUGGGGGGAUUGAGAGAUUUUAGUGAUGUGAGCAUUGUAAAGAAUCAGCAGUGAGUGGGUGUAAGUUUUUGUUUUCCAAUUUUCCAGAGGAGGGUCCACCUGGGAAGAAUUUCAUGAAAUUUACAGAAAUCUGAAAAUUGCUUUUGAAGCUAUUACAGGUACCUGGGGAGUCCUCCUUGGCCCCACAGGCUGACUACACUAUCCAGAUCUUAAGGGACUCUCAUCUUUCCUAACUUCUAGGUUGCAGGAUUCUGCAGAAUUACUUCUGCAGCUUCCAUUUGUAGCUAUUGCUAAGUGGACCCAUAGCUAUAUGGGAUGUGGGGCUCUGGAUUUCAGGUAGAAAUGACCCUUUGUUUAUUUGAGAUGUUUGCUUCUUUAAAUACUCAGCCAUCUGACUCUCUAAUUGUUUAGGAUUAGUCAUAAGUUAAGUAGGACAGGGAAGAUGUUAUAAAUAGUUUAUUGCAUAUCCAUUCAAGAAAUUUAGGCUAAGUUUAUAUAUUUUACCUUCUGAAAGGAGAAAGCCUGUGUGUUUAUUUAAAGCAUUGUAGAUUUUUUCUCAUUUAGAAUAUAUGAGUCUAGUAUAAAAAUUGAUUCUAGAUGAUUUAUAUGUAAGUUGCUCUUUUCUUCAUACUUAUUUUGCUACCUUUUUAUUUCAUGUUUUUUCUUAAGUAUGACUUUGAGCCUUUAAAAGUAUUUCCUUUAUGUCUCUUUUGAAUAUCAAAAACAACAUGAAUUAAAAAUAGAAGUCUACAUAUCAA
rnacentral:lncRNA from 1 species